CUGACUGGCGGAUCUGGAAGAGUCUGGCUGACUGGCGGAUCUGGAAGAGUCUGGCUGACUGGCGGAUCUGGAAGAGUCUGGCUGACUGGCGGAUCCUGGCAGACUGAAAGAUCUGGCUGCUCCAUGCUGACUGGCGGCUCUAGCUGCUCCACGCUGACUGGCGGCUCUGGCUGCUCCAUGUAGGCUGACAGCUCUGGCGGCUUCUUACAGACUGACAGCUCUGGCGGCUCCGUGCAGACUGGCAGCUCCUUGCAGACUGGCAGCUCCUUGCAGACUGGCAGCUCCUUGCAGACUGGCAGCUCUGGCUGCUCCAUGCAGAUUGACAGCUCUGGCUGCUUCAUGCAGACUGACAGCUUUGGCUGCUCCAUGUAGACUGACAGCUCUGGCUGCUCCAUACUGACAGCUCUGGCUGCUUCAUGCAGACUGACAGCUCUGGCUGCUUCAUGCAGACUGACAGCUCUGGCUGCUCCAUGUAGACUGACAGCUCUGGCUGCUCCAUGCAGACCGAUAGCUCUGGCUGCUCCAUGCAGGCGGGCAGCUCUGGCUGCGCUGAACAGGCAGGAGACUCCAGCAGCGCUGUAGAGGAAGAAGGCUCUAGCUACGCUGAACAGGCGGGAGACUCCGGCAGCGCAGGAGAGGAGAAAGGCUUCGACAGCGCUGGAGAGGCGGGAGACUCCGACAGCGCAGGAGAGGCGAGGCGCACUGUAGGCCUGAUGCGUAGUGCUGGUACUGGUGGUACUGGACCGAGGACACGCACAGGAAGCCUGGUGCGGGGAGCUGCUACCGGAGGGCUGGGGUGUGGAGGUGGUACUGGAUAGACUGGACCGUGCAGGUGCACUGGAGCUCUUGAGCACCGAGCCUGCCCAACCUUACCUGGCUCGAUGCCCACUCUAGCCCGGCCGAUACGAGGAGCGGGAAUAUACCGCUUCCGGGCUAUGCACCUGCACUGGGGACACUGUGCGCACCACUGCAUAACACGGUGCCUGCCCGGUCUCUCUAGCCCCC
ensembl:lncRNA